rnacentral:rRNA from 1 species
AGAAUCAACGCUGGCGGCGUGCCUAACACAUGCAAGUCGCACGAGAAAGGGGGACUUCGGUUCCUGAGUACAGUGGCGCACGGGUGAGUAACACGUGAAUAAUCUACCUCCGAGUGGGGAAUAACUGAGAGAAAUCUUAGCUAAUACCGCAUAACACUUACGAGUCAAAGCAGCAAUGCGCUUGGAGAGGAGUUCGCGGCAGAUUAGUUAGUUGGCGGGGUAAUGGCCCACCAAGACGAUGAUCUGUAUCCGGCCUGAGAGGGCGCACGGACACACUGGAACUGAAACACGGUCCAGACUCCUACGGGAGGCAGCAGUGGGGAAUUUUGCGCAAUGGGGGAAACCCUGACGCAGCAACGCCGCGUGGAGGAUGAAAUCCCUUGGGAUGUAAACCCCUUUCGAUCGGGAAGAUAAUGACGGUACCGAGAGAAGAAGCCCGGCUAACUUCGCGCCAGCAGCCGC